AGCGAACGCUGGCGGCAGGCCUAACACAUGCAAGUCGAACGAACCUUUCGGGGUUAGUGGCGGACGGGUGAGUAACACGUGGGAACGUGCCUUUAGGUUCGGAAUAACUCAGGGAAACUUGUGCUAAUACCGAAUGUGCCCUUCGGGGGAAAGAUUUAUCGCCUUUAGAGCGGCCCGCGUCUGAUUAGCUAGUUGGUUGAGGUAAUGGCUCACCAAGGCGACGAUCAGUAGCUGGUCUGAGAGGAUGAUCAGCCACAUUGGGACUGAGACACGGCCCAAACUCCUACGGGAGGUAGCAGUGGGGAAUCUUGCGCAAUGGGCGAAAGCCUGACGCAGCCAUGCCGCGUGAAUGAUGAAGGUCUUAGGAUUGUAAAAUUCUUUCACCGGGGACGAUAAUGGCGGUACCCGGAGAAGAAGCCCCGGCUAACUUCGUG
rnacentral:rRNA from 1 species